CCUACGGGAGGCAGCAGUGGGGAAUAUUGCACAAUGGGGGAAACCCUGAUGCAGCGACGCCGCGUGAGUGAAGAAGUAUUUCGGUAUGUAAAGCUCUAUCAGCAGGGAAGAAAAUGACGGUACCUGAUUAAGAAGCCCCGGCUAACUACGUGCCAGCAGCCGCGGGAAUACGUAGGGGGCAAGGGUUAUCCGGAUUUACUGGGUGUAAAGGGAGCGUAGACGGCAGCACAAGUCUGGAGUGAAAUGCCGGGGCUUAACCCCGGAACUGCUUUGGAAACUGUGCAGCUAGAGUGCAGGAGAGGUAAGUGGAAUUCCUAGUGUAGCUGUGAAAUGCGUCGAUAUUAGGAGGAACACCAGUGGCGAAGGCGGCUUACUGGACUGUAACUGACGUUGAGGCUCGAAAGCGUGGGGAGCAAACAGGAUUAGAUACCCUAGUAGUC
rnacentral:rRNA from 1 species